AUGUCCUGGACCAGUGCCCCCUUCAUGGGCUUUUGCACAGCUGUCAGCUCCCAGCCUGCGGUGACCCAGGAGCUCUCCCUCACGGUGUUGUCCGGACUGACAGUCACCCUCACCGGCUCUGGGAACAUGGCCACCCUAACCAUUAGCGGAGUCCGGGCUGAGGACGACACUGACUAUUACUAUCAGUCAUAUGACAGCAGUUAUAAUCAUGUGGUCUGCGGUGGCGGCUGCCCAGAGACCGUGGCAGGUCAGCCCAAGUCCUCGCCCUCAGUCACUCUGUUCGCGCCCUCCACUGAGGAGCUCAGCGCCAACAAGGCCACACUGGUGUGUCUCAUCAAUGACUUCUACCCGGGCAGCGUGACGGUGGCCUGGAAGUCAGGCAGCACCACCAUCACCAAGGGCGUGGAGACCAGCCAGCCCUCGAAACAGAGCAACGGCAAGUACGCGGCCAGCAGCUACCUGGCCCUGACGGCCAGCGAGUGGAAAUCUUAUGAGAAGGGGGUCAGCUGCCAGGUCACGCACGAUGGGAAUACCGAGGAGAAGACAGUGUCGCCCUCCGAGUGCUCUUAGGUCCUGGUCCUCACAUCCUCAGGGGACUGGAGCCACAGGACCCCUGGAGGGUCUACCCACCCACCCUGG